GAUUGCACCUGCCGGCGGUCAGCUGAUUGAAAGGGGCAGGGCCUGGCUCCCUUAUAAACCCUAGGGGCUGAGGCGAGAGGCAGUUCACUGCUGGCAGCCCAGGAAGAAGGAGCGCUCUGCCAUGGAAGAGAGGAGAAGUCUAACUGAAGGAGCAGUGGCUGACACAGCUGCAGAAUGGAGGUUUUACUGGGGAGAAAGAAAGAAUGAGUUAGACCAUGGUGAAAGUGCAGUUGCUGAACUAUUUGACAGAAGGCACAUCCAUCUACAAGUAUUUGCAUAUUGCUGUUGAUACAGUGACAAUGUGGGGAUGGGAGGCAUCACCCAGGAGGCUUCCAAGAAACCUGGGGAAGAUAAGCAUAACAAUACAUGGAGCAUCCAAAGACAACAAGGUGGUGUCCUGAAAUCAGAAGAGAGUCUAAACAGAGAUGGGUAGAGAGUCGUUUUGGGGACCAAGGUUAUAUGAACUGGAGAGAACUGCUGAGUUUAACUUUGCAGAGUUCAGGGCUGUAGUGGGGACAGAAAGACUGCUUAACCAUUUGUGGAAUGACAGAGAAACUCUGGGCCUUUGUCUCAAUAAAUGUUUAUCAAAGAGGAGCUUUGUUUUGCUGGUUAGAACUUUGGCUUACACUUUUUUCACCCUAUCAAGAAACAAAGUCCCUUUCUCAGGAGGUGAACUGGAAGGAAGACUAUGGAAAACCACGUAGGGCCAGAAACCAAAGCCUAAGGUCUCAGAUUUGGAAUGAGAGCUCCCCUUCCCACUCUGGGAGCUGGCACUGGUCAGGCUUCAGGGGGGCAUUCAGACAGACCAGACAAAUUUGAGAAGUUCCCAAGUAAAUGCCCCCCUGGGGAAAUCCAUGAUGUGUACCUUAAAUCUAAAAACGGAGAAAAAAUAGUCCAUGAUAUUGCCACAGAUUUCAAAAGGAGUAAGACAAGUCUAAAAUUUCCUUUCUAAGAUGGUACAUAUUGUCAAGAAAAAUACAGAUUUCUAUUCAUAUUCUUUGGAGCAUAUAAUAAAAAUUUCUAUCAUAAUUCCUUAUAAAGAUACAUCUUAUUCUUUUGAUGGAUACUUUUGGUUUCCAAGAUUAUUGUCUGUCUCACUUAUCAUUAAGAAAGGGGUAAUUUGCUUUAUCAGUACCAUCUGAUUAUGGUCUUCACAGUGUUAUUACCAUGAACAAAAGGUAAUCAACUUAUGCUAAGCUGUCUAAAUCAAUAUAUGCAUUUUUGUAUAACAUACAUAUGAGCCUUUGAGCUGUCCUCUCAACAUAUUAAUAUUUCCAGAGUUUUAUCAGACUAUUCCAUCACAUACUCUUACUAAAACACUGCUGGGAAUGGAAAUGUCUGUUGAGAACUUAUCUUGCAGCUUUAAUCAUAACUAUGGACAAGUUCAGUCUGCUCAGAGAAGAAAUGGUGAAGGGCCCCUAUCACAAGCCCAGUAAAAACUGAUAAGUAUUGCCCCAUGCCUGCCAAGGAUGAGCACACUCAUGAUCCAAAACCAUAGCACACAGAAAGAUUGCCUUGUUCUACCUUACUUUAAAUCCUUAAUAAAUUCAGAUGUUAAUUUUCUAGCUCAUUAAUAUUAGUCUUAUUUUAGACACCCAACAUUAAUGUAAAACUGAAAAUUUUAAACUAAACCACUUUGUUCAUGUCAGAAGUAUAACUAGUAAG